AGGGUUCGAUUCUGGCUCAGGAUGAACGCUGGCGGCGUGCUUAACACAUGCAAGUCGAACGGGAUCCAUCAGGCUUUGCUUGGUGGUGAGAGUGGCGAACGGGUGAGUAAUGCGUGACCGACCUGCCCCAUACACCGGAAUAGCUCCUGGAAACGGGUGGUAAUGCCGGAUGCUCCGACUCCUCGCAUGGGGUGUCGGGAAAGAUUUCAUCGGUAUGGGAUGGGGUCGCGUCCUAUCAGGUAGUCGGCGGGGUAACGGCCCACCGAGCCUACGACGGGUAGCCGGCCUGAGAGGGCGACCGGCCACAUUGGGACUGAGAUACGGCCCAGACUCCUACGGGAGGCAGCAGUGGGGAAUAUUGCACAAUGGGCGCAAGCCUGAUGCAGCGACGCCGCGUGCGGGAUGACGGCCUUCGGGUUGUAAACCGCUUUUGAUCGGGAGCAAGCCUUCGGGUGAGUGUACCUUUCGAAUAAGCACCGGCUAACUACGUGCCAGCAGCCGCGGUAAUACGUAGGGUGCAAGCGUUAUCCGGAAUUAUUGGGCGUAAAGGGCUCGUAGGCGGUUCGUCGCGUCCGGUGUGAAAGUCCAUCGCUUAACGGUGGAUCCGCGCCGGGUACGGGCGGGCUUGAGUGCGGUAGGGGAGACUGGAAUUCCCGGUGUAACGGUGGAAUGUGUAGAUAUCGGGAAGAACACCAAUGGCGAAGGCAGGUCUCUGGGCCGUUACUGACGCUGAGGAGCGAAAGCGUGGGGAGCGAACAGGAUUAGAUACCCUGGUAGUCCACGCCGUAAACG
rnacentral:rRNA from 1 species